rnacentral:rRNA from 1 species
GACGAACGCUGGCGGCAUGCCUAAUACAUGCAAGUCGUGCGAAUUGACGAAGUACUUGUACUUCUGACGUUAGCGGCGAACGGGUGAGUAACACGUAAGGAAUCUACCUAUAAGCGGGGGAUAACAUUCGGAAACGGAUGCUAAUACCGCAUAAUACAUAUUUCCGCAUGGAAAUACGUUGAAAGCCGGCUCUGCUGUCACUUAUAGAUGACCUUGCGGUGCAUUAGUUAGUUGGUGGGGUAAUGGCCUACCAAGACGAUGAUGCAUAGCCGAUCUGAGAGGGUGAUCGGCCACAUUGGGACUGAGACACGGCCCAAACUCCUACGGGAGGCAGCAGUAGGGAAUCUUCCGCAAUGGGCGAAAGCCUGACGGGGCAAUGCCGCGUGAGUGAAGAAGGCCUUCGGGUCGUAAAACUCUGUUAUAAGAGAAGAACAAAUUGUAGAGUAACUGCUACAGUCUUGACGGUAUCUUAUCAGAAAGCCACGGCUAACUACGUGCCAGCAGCCGCCGUAAUAC